GAUAAACGCUGGCGGCGUGCCUAAUACAUGCAAGUCGAACGAGGUGCUUUUGUAGCAAUACGAAAGUAUCCUAGUGGCGAACGGGUGAGUAACGCGUUGGUGACCUGCCCCAAAGUGUGGGAUAACAGUCCGAAAGGAUUGCUAAUACCGCAUGUGGCCAUCGGGUUUAGAAACCGAUGUCUAAAGCAGCAAUGCGCUUUGGGAGGGACCUGCGUCCCAUCAGCUAGUUGGUGAGGUAACGGCCCACCAAGGCGACGACGGGUAGGGGGCCUGAGAGGGUGGCCCCCCACAAUGGAACUGAAACACGGUCCAUACACCUACGGGUGGCAGCAGUAGGGAAUAUUGCACAAUGGGCGAAAGCCUGAUGCAGCAACGCCGCGUGAGCGAUGAAGGCCUUCGGGUCGUAAAGCUCUUUUCUGGGAGAUGAGAAAGGACAGUAUCCCAGGAAUAAGUCUCGGCUAACUACGUGCCAGCCGCCGCAGUAACAC
rnacentral:rRNA from 1 species